rnacentral:rRNA from 1 species
CAGCAGCCGCGGUAAUACAGAGGGUGCAAGCGUUAAUCGGAAUUACUGGGCGUAAAGCGCGCGUAGGUGGUUCGUUAAGUUGGAUGUGAAAUCCCCGGGCUCAACCUGGGAACUGCAUCCAAAACUGGCGAGCUAGAGUAGGGCAGAGGGUUGUGGAAUUUCCUGUGUAGCGGUGAAAUGCGUAGAUAUAGGAAGGAACACCAGUGGCGAAGGCGACCACCUGGGCUCAUACUGACACUGAGGUGCGAAAGCGUGGGGAGCAAACAGGAUUAGAUACCCCUGUAGUCCCUGUCUCUUAUAC